rnacentral:rRNA from 1 species
AUUGAACGCUGGCGGCAGGCCUAACACAUGCAAGUCGAGCGGAGCGGCGGACGGGUGAGUAAUGCCUAGGAAUCUGCCUGGCAGUGGGGGAUAACGUCCGGAAACGGGCGCUAAUACCGCAUACUAUUAGAUGAGCCUAGGUCGGAUUAGCUAGUUGGUUGGGUAAAGGCCUACCAAGGCGACGAGCCGUAACUGGUCUGAGAGGAGGAUCAGUCACACUGGAACUGAGACACGCGCCAGACUCAGACGGGAGGCAGCAGUGGGGAAUAUUGGACAAUGGGCGAAAGCCGGAUCCAGACAUGCCGCGUGUGUGAAGAAGGUCUUCGGAUGGUAAAGCAUUUUAAGUUGGGAGGCGUUACCAACAGAAUAAGCACCGGCUAACUUCGUGCCAGCAGCCGCGGUAAUUC